CAAAGCGUAGCUUAACGAAAGCAUCUCGCUUACACCGAGAACAUGUCUGUUAAACCCAGAUCACUUUGA
rnacentral:tRNA from 1 species